rnacentral:rRNA from 1 species
UGGGGAAUAUUGGACAAUGGGCGCAAGCCUGAUCCAGCCAUGCCGCGUGAGUGAUGAAGGCCCUAGGGUUGUAAAGCUCUUUCACCGGUGAAGAUAAUGACGGUAACCGGAGAAGAAGCCCCGGCUAACUUCGUGCCAGCAGCCGCGGUAAUACGAAGGGGGCUAGCGUUGUUCGGAUUUACUGGGCGUAAAGCGCACGUAGGCGGACUUUUAAGCCAGGGGUGAAAUCCCGGGGCUCAACCCCGGAACUGCCUUUGAUACUGGAAGUCUUGAGUAUGGUAGAGGUGAGUGGAAUUCCGAGUGUAGAGGUGAAAUUCGUAGAUAUUCGGAGGAACACCAGUGGCGAAGGCGGCUCACUGGACCAUUACUGACGCUGAGGUGCGAAAGCGUGGGGAGCAAACAGG